rnacentral:lncRNA from 1 species
AGACUAAUACACAGUGUGGUAAGAUCAAUCAGGAAAUGAAUACAAAUGUUAACUCAUCUUUUUUUUUUUUUUUUUUUUUUUUUUGAUGGCUUUUUUGAAUCAAAGGAAAGCAACACUGUUUUCUCCUUUCUUGGACUGAAACCUACUUUGGCAUCAAAGGAGUCAGAACCCUAGAAAGCCUAUCUGAAGUAUCGACAAGCACAUCUCCUGGAUGAACGACCCUGUUCUUCAGCACACAACAGCUUCCAUAAUGGAUCACUGUGAUAGAGCAAACAUGCAUCAUUAGUAGUAGUCUGCUUGCCAUGAGGCGGUGGUCUCCAAUAAUGUGGACUUAAUAACACAUAUAUGAAACAGGAUUAAGGCCGGGCUACUCAUCUUCCUUUUUAAAAAUACUCAUUGCUGGUGAUUUACUUUUGUCUUUGGAUGUUUUUUGCAACUGGCUCUGGUAUUCUAACAAACACAUAUGUUUGAGAAUAAGGAGUGAAAGUGAAGGGCUUCUGUCAUGCAUGGAUAUACUUACAUAGUCAGAUUCCUUACCUUUUUUAAUUCUUGCAGCUACUGUUAGUUGAAAUUAGCUCACCAUGAUAGUUAAAGUGCUGGUGGUUACUAGAAUGUUUAUGCUGGCUAUGAUCCAGAAGGUAAAAACCAUCAAUCUUAAAAUCUCAGUCUAAGCCAAUAACUGCCAUUUUUUUGAUGUACAUUUGUUUUUUUGUGCUGUUUUGCUUGAUCAUGUUUAUUGUAAGAGCCAUGGGCUGAUAACCUUGUUCAUGAAAACUUGAUUUGUCUAAUGAUGCACACUGCAAUUGACUGUUUAAAAACAGUUGUUACCAUGGAGGAGGUGCCAAAGUGAAAUAACAGAAUCACAGAAUCGUCACAGAAUACAGAAUCACAGAAUAAUGUUUUGACAUGGUUCCUGUUCCAAAUGCAGGUGAAAUGUGCAGGAAAACACUUGGUGGAAAAUAACUGAGUAGUUCAGAAGAAGAGGUUUCAUAGCUAAUGAUAAUACUAAGUUAUCUCUUAACCAAGAAAGGUUUAACACCCAAAGUCAGAACUCUGUAGUUGGACUGUCUUAAAAUGAAAUUUUGCCAAAACCUUGAGGUUUACCUUCCAUAACACACAGCUCCACCAUUAGCCACAUGAGAGACAGGGGAUACUUUGAGAGGCAGGGAUCAGU